rnacentral:lncRNA from 10 species
GCCAGGCAUGGUGGCACGUGCCUGUAAUCCCAGCUACUCAGGAGGCUGAGGCAGGAGAAUCGCUUGAACCUGGGAGGCGGAGUUUGCAGUGAGCCAAGAUUGUGCCAUUGCACUCCAGCCUGGGUGACAGAGUAAGACUCCUUCUCAAAAAAAAAGGGGAGGGGGUCUCACUGUUGCCCAGGCUGGAGUGCAGUGGUGCAAUCAUGGCUCACUGCAACCUUGAACUCCUGGGCUCAGGUGAUCCUCCUGC